UAUGGUGUAGUGCCGAACUACAACCAUACCAAUUACCUUAAGUCUAGGGUAAUUCUUCUAAGUAUUGUAGCAUUUGUAAUAAAUAACUACAUCGGUACUCAACUGCCUUAUUUGAGGGAUAAGGUAUAAUGUGAUCUCUAGAUCCCAGACUAUACGCUCCCCUAUCAAAGGGAUUUUGGGACCUACCCACGACCCCUGCAUGUAUGCAAGCCAUGAGCAUCCACAUUACUAUGAUCAUGUAUACCCGAUAUAACUAUCACAAUUGCGUUGUGAUUCAUCGGUAUAGUUAGAUCCUGAACUGGUUCCAUGCUAUAGCACCUAGUGACGUUUGUUCUAUGUAUAUGUAAGCGUACUCAUGUAAGUGUGAUCAUGUAAACAUAUCUAUGUAAUAGUAUAGUANCAAACCCAUUUCGAAUACAUCAUUUCCGAACUUCCAAUUGCAUCAUCUCGUAGCUUCAAAACUUCAAGAUCACUUCGGUCUUCAAAUCCGCGUAAUAUGAAAAAUUCAAGUUCGAAUUUCCAUAUAAAACUUCUCCCCCUUUUUAUAAUCGAAAUUUGAUUAUAAAACUCCAAAGGAAAAGAACGUGCUCUAUUCGGAAUUUUCAUGUUAAAACUCCCCCUUAACAUGUGGCAUAAACUUUGUGCUUCAAUCCAGAAAAACCAAAAAAUAAUCAAUUUUUAUUGUCGUUCCCGGAUUGCCUUUGACAAAAAUUCUCAAAAAUGGGUAGAAAUUGUCAUUUUCAAAAUUCUGCAGUGACCCGUUGCUCCCAAAACAGCCAAAUAUGCGAAACACACUCGCAUUUGCGAAACUGGGUAGAAUGUGUAAAUUCGCACAAACUGCAGGGACCACAUUUGAAAAUUCUGCAAUUUCAUCAUUUUAUGACCCCAUUUGCGAAGUUGGACCAAUUGUGUAAUUUCGUGAAAAGAUCAGGGACCAAAUGCGAACAUAUUUGUUUUCUUCUUCAUUGAACGAUUAACAGGGAAUUGUUCGCAUUUUCAUUCCCACACUCUUCGCAUGUUUCACCCAAUUAAUCAAAUGAACCAAAUGCGAAUGAACAACUUCCAGAUAUGCGAACCAUGGAUAAGAAAAUACUUCGCAUCUUAACUCCAAAAUUGAACAAAAUGCGAACUCACGUGAUCUCUGUAACCAAAUGCGAACUCAAAAUUACCAAAUUCAAACUCCAUUCACACAAAUACGAAUUGAACAAACAUUUCAGAUGCGAACCCAAACAAGAUCAAAUGCGAAUCCAAUGAAGAUCCAGAUGCGAACUUUAUUGAGAUACUUUCGCAAAAUCAACGUCAACAACUCCAAAAUCGAGUUUUCAUUCUUUUGCAAACAUCGAUUUCCCAGUCCUUCUUGACUUCGCAUUCUCCUUCACGAAUCAUCCCUCAAUCAUCAACCCAAUAUUGACAUCAAUUACAAUCGAUUUCAAAAACCAUCGACAUUCGCAUCUUGAUCCAAAAAUCAAAUCUAUUCAUCUGUUUGACAUCAAUCAUCUUCCCAUACGAACAAUCAGAUCUUUAUUUCAAACCAACAACCCAAAUGCGAAUCCAAAAUCAAAACUCAUCUGUUCAUCAAUCUUUCCCAAGAUUACAACCAAAAUCUACGUCACUGUCCAGUUCGUCAACAUCAGCCCAAAUACGAUCACUGAAAUCAAAAUCAAGCUUUUGAUUCCAGUUAACGAACCAAAACAAAAACCGAUUUCGAUCUCCAAAUCUUUAAUCAUCAAUCAUCGAUUCCAAUUUUAAGAAUCUCCAAAAUCGAUUUUGACUUUCAAUUUAAUCAAAGAUCAACAUCUUGAUCAUAAUCGAUUUUAGAAAUCAACAGAUUUAAAUACAAUCGAUUCACAAGAUAUACAAAUCAAGAAUUAAUAGUUGAUUUUGAGAAACACAGAAACUAAAUCGGAACUCAAGAACACCGAUUACGACGAUAGACAUGAAUUAUGACAAUCUAUUCAAUCGUCAACCGAUUUCAAGAACAUUAUGAGUUUUUAACUAAUCUUGAUUUUCAAUCUUUGGUUCAUUCCGAUCAAUAAGUCAUAUUUUGACCUUUUUGGAUCUACUUCAUUUCGAUUACGAACACUCAGUUUAGACAUUGGAAUAUAGACAAACUGACUUGGAAUGGAUCUCAAACUUGGAUUUGACGAAUGAUCAACAGACUCGAGACAUUGGGCUUUGAUUUCAAAGAUGAACAGUUAAUAUGAUUAGCAAUUUGGGCUCAAAUUGGACAUGAACAGUGUCAGAUCUACUCUUUGGGCUUCGAACAAAUGUAUUAAAAAAAUUUUGAAUCACAUCAAACAUAUGGAUUUGGAAUAGGAUUGGACUUUGAUCAACACAAAAAAUUAUUGGAUCAACAAUGAGAUUUGAAACGAACUAGAUCCAAUGAAUCAAAAUGAUCAAAAAUCAAGAACGUAACGCACGAAUCAAAUAUUACAAGAGAUCAUAGAGAGAGACUCACCAAAAUUGCUCAAAUUGCGACAAAUAUUGCCAAACCAAGAAUCGGUCUUCAAAAGUCACGUUGAUCGUGAAAACCAAGCUCUGAUACCAAUUGUAGUGACAAAGAACAUGGUUUUGGCAUGCAUAAUUAAAGCUUGCACAAUUGAACAUGGUGAUUUGGGUGUUUAAGAGAUAUAUUGAAUGUAUAUGGUGUUACAAAAAGGAUCUAGAUCUAGACUACAUAAAUAACACACACUUACACACUCACUUUUAUAUCUCUCAAGCACACCUCUACAAGUGGACAAACCCACCUUAUAUAGAGGUGUUUACAUGUCUCUCUCUCACUCUCUAACAAAUGGGUCUAAAGCCUAAAGCACCACAUGCAAGUGGGUUUUACAAAAGUCAGACAUUUACAAAGUCAUGAAUGAAUAACUUUGCACCCAACAAUCUAGUGUCUGUGUGUGUCUCUUGUAAGAGUGUGUAUUUUCCCAAGUCUGACUAUCAUUAACCAAAAAUAUAGUUUCUACAUUACCGUGCGUCGUGUGAAAGUUCACGAAGUGAAUGUAAUGGGAAAAUGAAAUUGUACUAUGGUGUAGUGCCGAACUACAACCAUACCAAUUACCUUAAGUCUAGGGUAAUUCUUCUAAGUAUUGUAGCAUUUGUAAUAAAUAACUACAUCGGUACUCAACUGCCUUAUUUGAGGGAUAAGGUAUAAUGUGAUCUCUAGAUCCCAGACUAUACGCUCCCCUAUCAAAGGGAUUUUGGGACCUACCCACGACCCCUGCAUGUAUGCAAGCCGUGAGCAUCCACAUUACUAUGAUCAUGUAUACUCGAUAUAACUAUCACAAUUGCAUUAUGAUUCAUCGGUAUAGUUAAAUCCUGAACUGGUUCCAUGCUAUAGCACCUAGUGACGUCUGUUCUAUGUAUAUGUAAGCGUACUCAUGUAAGUGUGAUCAUGUAAACAUAUCUAUGUAAUAGUAUAGUAAUGUACUGUAAUGUUCUAGCUGUAAUGUAUGCUCUCUCUAUCUAGCAACUAUAGUAAUGUACUGUAAUGUUCUAGAAAGUAUUGACUCAUUGUAUGAUAUCGUGUUCUAGUAAUAGUUCUAGUAUCUUCCUAAACUACCCAUAUGGUAGUUUACUAGUAAUCUAACUGGUACGUAUGGACCUGGAUGUAUA
rnacentral:lncRNA from 1 species